UUAGUACUCCCUCUGUCCGGAAAUACUUGUCAUAGAAAUGGAUACAAAUGGGUAUAUCUAGAACUAAAAUACAUCUAGAUACAUCCAUUCCUUGGACAAGUAUUUCCGGACGGAGGGAGUACAAC
rfam:Triticum aestivum genome assembly, contig: Triticum_aestivum_CS42_TGACv1_scaffold_030696_1BL